GGAUGGGUUUAUCCAACCAUCACAUAUGAUUAUUUCCUAGGAAAGUCACGGAUGGUUUUAUCACCUGGGAUGGGCAUUUCUGGUUCCACCUACUGUUCCAGCAUCAUGCUGAGCCAACUUGUGGGCUGAGAUGAGCGCUCAGAUGAGAACUCCAAGCAGACUUCUCAACACAUGCCUGUCAAGUUUGCAACCAGUCAGAUAUGGAAUUGUGUUUUCCCAGACAGAAGUGGAAAGUUACUCCUACCUCAUAGAAUUGUGUACUCAAGGCUCCCAGAGGCAUCCCAACAAUCCACGAGAUCUACUCACCCAUCAGUUGGAAAGACUGUAGUUAUAGGCUGAGGACCACUCAACAAUCACUAUUACUUAUCGCAGGUGCACCAAGGUUAUGUAAGAUGUUAACCCUGAAGAAACUGAAUGAAAGGUAUACAGGAACCCUCCAUACUUAACUUCCAGCUUUUCUGUUUUAUACUUUCGGUGGCGUAAAGACACAGGCUGUACUCGACAUGGAGAAAAACCAGGGUCAAGAGUGCGACUUGCAGAUGAAAGAGAACACAAAGUGGUGAAAUCAAAUGGAAGGAAGAAACACAGAGGAGCCUGAUUUAUAGGAAAAUUAGAUGCAAAAUGAAGAUAACUGAAUCCUCUAUGAGCAUUUGAUGUGCAUGAUGGCCAUUUUCAGUUCUUGUGUCCUCAUCUGCUUUACGUGCCCCUGCUGACAUCACCACUACCCAAGUAUCAAUAUAAUAUUGACAGAACAUGGAAGUAUAUUCAAGAUCCCUCAAAAAUUUUCCUUUAAUCACUCUGUGGAAAACAAUGUUGAAAUGAAUAAAACUAGCCUCAAACUACCUUAAUCAAAUCCAAGACAUGUUUCUUCCAGGUUAUGACGUCUUGGAACAGGACCCUUAUCUCUGAUCCUGAAAAUAUAGAGUUAAAAUUAAAACAUGGAAAGCACAUGGAGAAGAAGUAUGUGGCACACAUUAAUGACUCAAUAUAUGUUGCUGGUUUUGUUUUUGUAAAUCUUCAAAAUAAUUAUGUAUUAGCUCCUCUUACCGCUGUGACAAGGCACCACAGCCUUUGCA